AUUGAACGCUGGCGGCAGGCCUAACACAUGCAAGUCGAGCGAGCGGCGGACGGGUGAGUAAUGUAUGGGGACUGCCCGAUAGAGGGGGAUAACUACUGGAAACGGUAGCUAAUACCGCAUACUAUCGGAUAACCCAUAUGGGAUUAGCUAGUAGGUGUGGUAAUGGCUCACCUAGGCGACGAUCGCUAGCUGGUCUGAGAGGAUGAUCGGCGACAGUGGGACGGAGACACGGCCCAGACUGCUACGGAGGCAGCAGUGGGGAAUAUUGGGCAAUGGGCGCAAGGCUGAUGCGGCCAUGCGGCGGGUAUGAAGAAGGCCGUAGGGUGGUAGGGUACUGUGGGUGGGGAGGCGUUAGCGGCAGAGGAAGCACCGGCUAAGGGCGGGCCAGCAGCCGCGGUAAUAC
rnacentral:rRNA from 1 species